rnacentral:tRNA from 4 species
GGAUCGUUGUCCGAGUUGGCCGAAGGAGCACGCCUGGAAAGUGUGUAAACGUCACAAGCGUUUCGAGAGUUCGAAUCUCUCACGAUCCG